GUUUCUAUAGUUGAAGUACAACAAUGAUUUUUCAUGUCAUAGAUCGCGGUUAAAUGCUGUGUAGGAACA
rnacentral:tRNA from 1 species